UGGGGAAUAUUGGACAAUGGGGGCAACCCUGAUCCAGCAAUGCCGCGUGUGUGAAGAAGGCCUGAGGGUUGUAAAGCACUUUCAGUGGGGAGGAGGGUAAUUUGGUUAAGAGCUGAGUUAUUGGACGUUACCCACAGAAGAAGCACCGGCUAACUCCGUGCCAGCAGCCGCGGUAAUACGGAGGGUGCGAGCGUUAAUCGGAAUUACUGGGCGUAAAGCGUGCGUAGGUGGUUGAAUAAGUUAUCUGUGAAAUUCCUGGGCUUAACCUAGGGUGGUCAGAUGAUACUGUUUAACUCGAGUAUGGGAGAGGGUAGUGGAAUUUCCGGUGUAGCGGUGAAAUGCGUAGAGAU
rnacentral:rRNA from 1 species